UACGGAGGGUGCGAGCGUUAAUCGGAAUUACUGGGCGUAAAGCGCGCGUAGGCGGUCUGAUCAGCCGGUUGUGAAGGCCCCGGGCUCAACCUGGGAACGGCAUCCGGAACUGUCAGGCUAGAGUGCAGGAGAGGAAGGUAGAAUUCCCGGUGUAGCGGUGAAAUGCGUAGAGAUCGGGAGGAAUACCAGUGGCGAAGGCGGCCUUCUGGACUGACACUGACGCUGAGGUGCGAAAGCGUGGGUAGCAAACAGGAUUAGAUACCCUGGUA
rnacentral:rRNA from 1 species